UACGUAGGGUGCGAGCGUUAAUCGGAUUUACUGGGCGUAAAGCGUGCGCAGGCGGCCCGUUAAGACAGGUGUGAAAUCCCUGGGCUCAACCUAGGAAUUGCGCUUGUGACUGGCGGGCUCGAGUACGGUAGAGGGGGGUGGAAUUCCUGGUGUAGCAGUGAAAUGCGUAGAGAUCAGGAGGAACACCGAUGGCGAAGGCAGCCCCCUGGGCCUGUACUGACGCUCAUGCACGAAAGCUAGGGGAGCAAACCGG
rnacentral:rRNA from 1 species